GUUCCAAUUAGAAGUGGGUUCAGGUCAAUUGAUCUUUGGUCCUCAUGGAAGAAGAAUGAGUGAGAUUUCAGAGUCCAGCAUUCCAUUUCCACAUAGAGCUGGGAAUGUAUACUAAAUUCAGCACCUGGAAAAUUGGGAUGAGGAAGGAAUAGAGGAAUCAAGAAGGCACAUAAGUUGGAUCAGAAGGCUUCACAGUUUCGUGGCUCCUUGUGUUUCAAAAAAUCCAAGAUUAGCAUACAUCAACUACAGGGAUCUUGACAUUGGGAUUAACAGCCUGCAGGGAAACACAAGUUACAAGCAAGCAAGCAUUUGGGGUAUCAAGUAUUUCAAGAUUAAUUUUGACAGGCUGGUCCAUGUCAAGACCCAAGUUGAUCCUGCUAAUUUCUUCAGAAACAAACAAAGCAUCCCAUCAUAAGGGAUCAUAAAGUAGUUGUUGAUCUCUAUUGGC
rnacentral:misc_RNA from 1 species